UACGGAGGGUGCAAGCGUUAAUCGGAAUUACUGGGCGUAAAGCGCGUGUAGGCGGCCCGAUAAGUCCGCUGUGAAAGUCCAGGGCUCAACCCUGGGAUGCCGGUGGAUACUGUCGGGCUCGAGUCCGGAAGAGGAGAGUGGAAUUCCUGGUGUAGCGGUGAAAUGCGCAGAUAUCAGGAGGAACACCAAUGGCGAAGGCAGCUCUCUGGGACGGUACUGACACUGAGACGCGAAAGCGUGGGGAGCGAACAGG
rnacentral:rRNA from 1 species